rnacentral:rRNA from 1 species
AUGGGCGCAAGCCUGAUGCAGCAACGCCGCGUGAGGGACGAAGGCCUUCGGGUUGUAAACCUCUUUUAGUAGGGAAGAAGCGGACUGGGUUUUCCUGGGAGCCAUGACGGUACCGCUAGAAAAAGCACCGGCCUAACUACGCUGCCAGCAGCCGCGGUAAUACG